UCCAUUUCACUCCAUAUUAUCAUUUUUCAUAAAAAUAUGAAUAUAAAUUAAAAUAAGACAUGACUUAAAGGUCUCCGUUAUCAGGUCAUAAAAUCCCUUUUAACUUUUAGUAUUAAGUGAAAGAAAAGGACUUUUUGGUCUUAUCUACUUAAUAAAUAAAUGUAUUAUAAUAUUUUGGCGGGAACGCGAGGGGCGAUGAUAUGUGAGUUGUUGUGACCUUGCUCGUUCACGAAGCCCGCUAUAGAAAGCAGAGUAUUAAAUACACUUCACAUUGGCGAAAUCUAAAAAGAAACGCCAUAAACCUAAGAGAUAGAUAUACAUUAAAUUUUCGAGAAACACGAGUGAGUCCAUAAAGUGGUGAAACCUUUUUAUUAGAGCCGGGAGCCGAACGUUACGAGGUCCCCGCACCUUGGGGGUGCGCGGGGUAUGAGAACUGAAAGGUCUGCAGAUGCUAAGAGCGGACCGCGAGCUUUGGGCGGAAUUUGGGACCUUAUCCGUUAAACAACUCCCCUACACUCUCGCGCAAGUCUGAUCCCCCCGAGGUUAGAAUCAGGACGGGGUAAGGACGUUACCGCGGUCAACAUUGCAACUAGAUGCGCGGCUCAUCUUAAGAAUGCCCGACUGACGAAGCCUUCGAGGCGAAUCGAAGGCUCUGGAGGUCGGCGGUCUCGGUACGGCGAUGUCCCGGGAUACCCCGCUUGGCUAGAGCCCGUCUGCUAGGUCAGGAUGCGAUACAACCUCAAUCCAUCACUCUUUUCACGAUGAUAGUGAGGUUACUCCUUGGCAGCGUGCUAAAGUGUUGGUAGUUCUCCGCGCGGCCUCUAUUGUUUCAGUGUGCUUAGUGCGAGUUUCUUAACGUUCUCGAUAGCGUAAAAGUUAACUUAAUUUGUAUGCAGUUGGAAUAGCGCCCCUAGCGGCAAACGUACGCGCAAACGAUCCAAUUCCAUACAAAUAUGAGCUAACUUUUACGCUAUCGAGAACGUUAAAAAACUCGCACUAAGCACACAGGUCACCGCGUGACCUUCACCGGGGGGACGCCGACGCUUACAGAAAAUUAAUAUUACUGGAAGACUGAAAUGUCUAAUGUUUUUUGGAAUUUCUUUAUUAUUUAUUUAUAAGUGUAUAACAUCAAUACGUUGACAUUGAACAUAUUAUAAUUUACAAAUAAAAAAUCAUUCUUCUAGAUUUUAUAUUUACAUAACUUUUUCGUUUUUAAUACGACUACGACAUACAUAAUUAUGUAACCGUUUCAAAAUCACAAUUUCUUGAUUAUGAUAUUUUUAUUAUGUAGUCUCCUUUUUUUAAAUAAAAAAAAUUGCGAGUUAUAA